GACGAACCGAGCGAACGUUGUUCGGAAUCACUGGGCUUAAAGGCGCGUAGGCGGGCUGCCAAGUUUGGGGUGAAAUCCUCCGGCUCAACCGGAGCAGUGCCUCGAAUACUGGCGGUCUCGAGGGAGGUAGGGGCGUGCGGAACUGUGGGUGGAGCGGUGAAAUGCGUUGAUAUCCACAGGAACUCCGGUGGCGAAGGCGGCACGCUGGACCUUUUCUGACACUGAGGAGCGAAAGCUAGGGGAGCAAACGGG
rnacentral:rRNA from 1 species